AGAACGAACGCUGGCGGCAUGCCUAACACAUGCAAGUCGAACGAGACCUUCGGGUCUAGUGGCGCACGGGUGCGUAACGCGUGGGAAUCUGCCCUUGGGUUCGGAAUAACUCAGAGAAAUUUGAGCUAAUACCGUAUGAUGUCUUCGGACCAAAGAUUUAUCGCCUAGGGAUGAGCCCGCGUUGGAUUAGCUAGUUGGUGGGGUAAAGGCCUACCAAGGCGACGAUCCAUAGCUGGUCUGAGAGGAUGAUCAGCCACACUGGGACUGAGACACGGCCCAGACUCCUACGGGAGGCAGCAGUGGGGAAUAUUGGACAAUGGGCGAAAAGCCUGAUCCAGCAAUGCCGCGUGAGUGAAGAAGGGCCUUCGGGUUGUAAAGCUCUUUUACCCGGGAAGAUAAUGACUGUACCGGAGAAUAAGCCCGGCUAACUCCGUGCCAGCAGCCGC
rnacentral:rRNA from 1 species